GACGAACGCUGGCGGCGUGCCUAAUACAUGCAAGUCGAGCGAGCGGAACCAACAGAUUUACUUCGGUAAUGACGUUGGGAAAGCGAGCGGCGGAUGGGUGAGUAACGCGUGGGUAACCUGCCUCAUACAGGGGGAUAACAGUUAGAAAUGGCUGCUAAUACCGCAUAAGACCACAGUACUGCAUGGUACAGUGGUAAAAACUCCGGUGGUAUGAGAUGGACCCGCGUCUGAUUAGGUAGUUGGUGAGGUAACGGCCCACCAAGCCGACGAUCAGUAGCCGACCUGAGAGGUUGAACGGCCACAUUGGGACUGAGACACGGCCCAG
rnacentral:rRNA from 1 species